ACCGUGAAAAAAUUAGAGUGUUCAAAGCAGGCAGAUUCAAUUUUCUGCCACCGAAUACAUUAGCAUGGGAUAAUGGAAUAGGACCCUGUCCUCCUUUUUUCAGUUGGUUAAUUCAUGAGAGAGGAACAGGGUAAUGAUUAAUAGGGAUAGUUGGGGGCAUUAAUAUUUAAUUGUCAGAGGUGAAAUUCUUGGAUUUAUGAAAGAUUAACUUCUGCGAAAGCAUCUGCCAAGGAUGUUUUCAUUAAUCAAGAACGAAAGUUAGGGGAUCGAAGACGAUCAGAUACCGUCGUAGUCUUAACCAUAAACGAUGCCGACCAGCGAUUAGGAGACGUUGAAUACAAAACACCUCUAUAUAUAAUUCAGUAUAUGGUCAGUCAAAUGGCUGUGUAUUGUUUGUAUAUAGUUUAAUGCCA
rnacentral:rRNA from 1 species